GGGCAAGGGAAGCUGGUGAUGCCAUCCUACAGAUCAGCCUCCCCAGAAAAAGAACAGGUGAAUGGGAAAUCAGGAGGGGCAAAUAGAAGCUAUCCAUUUUUUUUUAAAGUCCCAGGCACUUUUAGGAGCUGAGAAUUUUGUGGUGAACAGGACUGAUAUGGCCAUAGCCCUUGGGAAGCUUGUGUCCAAGGAAAUCACUGGAAAGUUAGAGCCUAGGAGUACACAUUGGAGAAAGAGGAAGGACGGUGGGCACAUGUGCAGGCACAGAUAGUUGGUUCUGCUCCUCUGCUACUGUAUGUGGCUAUUUUCACUCCAAGCCUCAAAGGAGCCAAGAAUGACUUUGGACUCAAGACAGUAUCAGUGACUAAACUAUCCUCAAAGAAAGAAAAUUCUUUAUAGACCUCCAUGGAAGUCCUGUGAACUGGGCAAUAUUUGGUAAUGAUGCACUGAAAGAGAAAAAUCACUUUUAUCAUAAAUAUGGC
rnacentral:lncRNA from 1 species